CCUACGGGAGGCAGCAGUGAGGAAUAGUGGUCAAUGGACGCAAGUCUGAACCAGCCAUGCCGCGUGCAGGAUGACGGCUCUAUGAGUUGUAAACUGCUUUUGUACGAGGGUAAACCCCGAUACGUAUAUCUGGUUGAAAGUAUCGUACGAAUAAGGAUCGGCUAACUCCGUGCCAGCAGCCGCGGUAAUACGGAGGAUCCGAGCGUUAUCCGGAUUUAUUGGGUUUAACGGGUGCGUAGGCGGUUGGAUAAGUUAGAGGUGAAAUGGCGGGGCUCAACCCCGAAACUGCCUCUGAUACUGUUGGACUAGAGAAUAGUUGCGGUAGGCGGAAUGUCUGGUGUAGCGGUGAAAUGCUUAGAGAUCAUACAGAACCCCGAUUGCGAAGGCAGCUUACCAAACUAUAUCUGACGUUGAGGCACGAACGCGUGGGUAGCAAACAGGAUUAGAUACCCGGGUAGUC
rnacentral:rRNA from 1 species